rnacentral:tRNA from 1 species
GGAAGAUAGUAUAGUGGUUAUACAAAAGACUUCCAUGCCUUAUACUGUUGGGUCCUGGGUUCAAUCCCUAGUACUUCCA